rnacentral:rRNA from 1 species
CCUACGUGAGUCAGCAGUGAGGAAUAUUGGUCAAUGGACGGAAGUCUGAACCAGCCCUGCCGCGUGCAGGAAGACUGCUCUAUGAGUUGUAAACUGCUUUUGUACAAGGGUAAACCUGAAUACGUGUAUUCAGCUGACAGUACUUUACGAAUAAGGAUCGGCUAACUCCGUGCCAGCAGCCGCGGUAAUACGGAGGAUCCAAGCGUUAUCCGGAUUUAUUGGGUUUAAAGGGUGCGUAGGUGGAUUGAUAAGGUAGAUGUGAAAUGUGCGAGCUUAACUCGGGAACUGCCUUUAAUACUGUUGAUCUAGAGAGUAGAUGCGGUAGGCGGAAGGUAUGGUGUAGCGGUGAAAUGCUUAGAGAUCAUACAGAACACCGAUUGCGAAGGCAGCUUACCAAUCUAUAUCUGACGUUGAGGCACGAAAGCGUGGGGAGCAAACAGGAUUAGAUACCCUUGUAGUC